rnacentral:rRNA from 1 species
CGAAGGUCCCGAGCGUUGUUCGGAAUCACUGGGCGUAAAGGGAGCGUAGGCGGCGCGGUAAGUCAGAUGUGAAAUCCCGGGGCUCAACCCCGGAACUGCAUCCGAUACUGCCGUGCUAGAGGACUGGAGAGGCAACUGGAAUUCUCGGUGUAGCAGUGAAAUGCGUGGAUAUCGAGAGGAACACUCGUGGCGAAAGCGAGUUGCUGGACAGUAUCUGACGCUGAGGCUCGAAGGCCAGGGUAGCGAAAGGGAUUAGAUACCCCUGUAGUCCUGGCAGUAAACGGUGCACGCUUGGUGUGAGGGGAAUCGACCCCCCUUGUGCCGGAGCUAACGCGUUAAGCGUGCCGCCUGGGAAGUACGGUCGCAAGACUA